AUACGGAGGAUCCGAGCGUUAUCCGGAUUUAUUGGGUUUAAAGGGUGCGUAGGCGGCCUUUUAAGUCAGCGGUGAAAGUCUGUGGCUCAACCAUAGAAUUGCCGUUGAAACUGGGGGGCUUGAGUAUGUUUGAGGCAGGCGGAAUGCGCGGGGUAGGGGGUAAAUGCUUAGAUAUCACGCAGAACCCCGAUUGCGAAGGCAGCCUGCCAAGCCAUGACUGACGCUGAUGCACGAAAGCGUGGGGAUCAAACAGGAUUAGAUACCCUGGUAGUCCACGCAGUAAACGAUGAUCACUAGCUGUUUGCGAUACACUGUAAGCGGCACAGCGAAAGCGUUAAGUGAUCCACCUGGGGAGUACGCCGGCAACGGUGAAACUCAAAUGAAUUGGCGGGG
rnacentral:rRNA from 1 species